UUCACUUCACUGAGCAGUUCAUCAUCACGAGGAGAUGAGAGUCCUGAGUAUUUCUGUGCUCUGUUUGAGGGUCUGUGGAGGAGAAGAGAAGGUGAGAGGAAAGGAGGCAGGUGCCAAGGGGGCACACCUGGAAGUUCAGUGUGCUUGUCCCAGUCACCUGGUUAUCCCACCAGGACAGGGGAAUGUAUUCCACCUCCUCCCUGGAGCCAGGCCUUCCCAUCAACUCCAUCUGUCUUUUAACACUGUACUCAAAAGGAGCCAACACCAGCAUGGCCACCAGCCAGCAGGUAGCUCACUCCCAAGGUGGCGGGGGCAUCUGAAAGCCUCUUCCCAGUCGGCCUCCCCAUCCAUCAGCACUCUGAGUUGGGCCUAGGUGAAAACAGGACAUGGCAAGAUGAAGGGGCUACAGUCGCCACAACUCGGAAGUUGGAGUCCUCAGCAUCCUCAGCAAACUCCUCUCCACAGGCGAGUGCAGGGGCUCCUGUCCGCCGUUCUCCUGCCUGAUCAAGGAGCACCUGCAGGAGGGGCCCCUUUAAAGUGUAACAGACAGUGUGUUUCCCUCGCAGCCGCCUGUGUGCUGGGCCGUGGGCCUGACUGUACGGGCACAUAUACUCCAGGGGCUCAGCUGGGGGUUCCAUCGUCUCAUCUCUGAGACCUGGAGAGGGCUGGGGGCAGAGUCGGGGGGCUCGCACAUUGAGGCGUCUGAGUAACUGCAAUUACACACUCAAUGAAACCUAUCGCUGUCAUUCAUCGUGCUGGGCUGGGAGAGAAUGACUUAUCCUGUCGAAACCCGGGCUUCAUGGGGUUUCCUGGGCCACUGGGGCAGCCAGAAUGGCUCUAGUCUAAGAAGUGAAGGGGGCAAGAGAAGAACGGAUUAAGUGCUGGAGGGGUUCUGGUGGGAGGAGCCCCAGGGAAGGCCACGUGGAGGAGAUGACACGGCAAAGGGGCUUAGAGGAGGGCAGGGUCUUGACAUGUGGAGCCAGAGGGGGAAGGGCAGAGAUGAUUCCAUAGAAAGAACAGAGCAAAGUGUGAACCCAG